UGAAUACGAGACGCUAAGGCGUCGAAGUAGUGUAUGUCAUACUUCCAAGAAAAGCUUGCACUGUCAUAGAUAAAAAACGCCUGUACCAUAACCGACACAGGUGGGUAGGUAGAGUAUACUAAGGGGCGCGAGAUAACUCUCUCUAAGGAACUCGGCAAAAUAACUCCGUAACUUCGGGAGAAGGAGUGCCUUAUUCGUAAGGUUGCAAUAACAAGAUCCAAGCAACUGUUUAUCAAAAACACAGGUCUCCGCUAAGUCGUAAGACGAUGUAUGGGGGCUGACGCCUGCCCAGUGCCAGAAGGUUAAAGAAGUUGGUUAGCAAUUGCGAAGCUGAUAACUGAAGCCCUGGUGAACGGCGGCCGUAACGAUAACGGUCCUAAGGUAGCGAAAUUCCUUGUCGGGUAAGUUCCGACCCGCACGAAAGGCGUAAUGAUUUGGAUACUGUCUCGGAGAGGGGCUCGGUGAAAUAGACUUGUCUGUGAAGAUGCGGACUACCUGCACCAGGACAGGAAGACCCUAUGAAGCUUUACUGUAACUUGAAAUUGAAAUUGGACUUUAUUCGCGCAGUAUAGGUGGGAGGCGUUGAUUAUAAUCUUGCGGGAUUAUUGGAGCCAUCAGUGAGAUACCACUCUUGUAAUGUUAGAUUUCUAACUUUGAAUCAUUAUCUGGUCAAAGAACAGUUUCAGGCGGGCAGUUUGACUGGGGCGGUCGCCUCCUAAACGGUAACGGAGGCGUACAAAGGUUUCCUCUGAACGGUUAGAAAUCGUAUCUAGAGUGUAAAGGCAUAAGGAAGCUUGACUGUGAGACCUACAAGUCGAGCAGGGACGAAAGUCGGUCUUAGUGAUCUGACGGUACUGAGUGGAAAGGCCGUCACUCAACGGAUAAAAGUUACUCUAGGAUAACAGGCUAAUCUCCCCCAAGAGUUCACAUCGACGGGGAGGUUUGGCACCUCGAUGUCGGCUCAUCGCAUCCUGGGGCGGUAGUACGUCCCAAGGGUUGGGCUGUUCGCCCAUGAAAGCGGUACACGAGCUGGGUUCAGAACGUCGUGAGACAGUUCGGUCCAUAUCCGGUGUAGGCGUUAGAAUAUUGAGAGGAGCCUUCUUUAGUACGAGAGGGCCGAGAAGGACAUACCUCUGGUGUACCAGUUAUCGUGCCAACGGUAAACGCUGGGUAGCUAUGUAUGGAGUGGAUAACCGCUGAAAGCAUCUAAGUGGGAAGCCCACCUCAAGAUAAG
rnacentral:rRNA from 1 species